rnacentral:lncRNA from 1 species
GACUCUUAUGUUGAUUUUGAAGCUAAAAUUGUUUAUAAGAAUUGAGUUAAAUUGUGAGUAUUCGAAUAUAUGUUCUGGCAAUGAACACUUUAGUCACUUAAUCUUUAUAUCAUUACUCCUUAAUUUAAUAAUUCAAACAAUAUCAAUAAUAAUGUAAGCCCAAUUCCUAGCAAAGUUACUGUCAAUCAUAUGUUUCAAUAAUCCUUCAUUCAUACUUCACUCACCAUUUCUCAAUAUGUAAAAAGCAAUUCUAAUUCUAAUCGAUGGAUUGCUAUGUAAAGAUAAAAAAGAGAAGAAGAAAUACAAUUCUAAUUCUAAUCGAUGGAUUACUAUGCAAAUACAGAACCCGUGGCAGUAUGCAUUCUCAUCCAAUAAUAAUUUUUUGUAACUACAGCCAAACAAUCAAUAACAAUCAUUCUCAUCCAAUAAUUUUUUUUUUUGUAAAGUUAGAAAGGUAAAUAAAUCUUAUACCAAAUUCUAAUGACAAACAUGCUGAGCUAAGUGUGAUGAAAGAAAAAAAAGAAGAAAGUUUUUAAGGUCUGUACUAAUAAAAGCUCUGUACUAAUAAAAGCAUGGCAAAAGGAACAGUAUCUACAAUUUCUUUCUUUAAUAGAUGGUUAAUUCACUAAUUGAAAAGCACCAGUUUCUGCCUAGUGCUCGUUGAAGAUAUACAAGUAUAUACUGCCUGAAAGUAAAAUAUAGUGUAAGAACUAGUCCUUAAAUUUUAGAUUUUUGUAGUUUUCUGAUAAGAUGCGGUGCUACAGUUUGUGUUAGACCUUCCUAUUCCUCUGUAAUUCAAAAACCAGUCUAAUAUAUCAUCAUUUUUGGGUGUUGACUUCUCAGAUAAUCCCUCAAUUGGAACAUAUUUCACUUACUACUGAUGACAUUUUUCAAAAUAAGAAAAUCUCUGUUUUAAAGUAGAUAACCAUUUCAAAAUAAACAAGUAAUUCAUACUGUGCAACAUGUCCCAAACAAAAUGCACUGAAAUCAUCUUGUAAGAAAACGAGGAAGGACAAAAUACGAGGAGUUACUGGCUAAAAUCAGUCAUUUUCUUCUUUUAACUCAAAAGUCAAGAGGGGAGUCCCCUCUUUUUUAUGUUCAUCAUAUUACAAGAUACGAGGAAGGACAAGCCUACAAGGAUUUACUGGCUUUGAAUCCCUGAUUUGGACUGCAAACAAACGAACUUAGAU